UCCUCAGCGUCACCUCUCUGAGAUGGCACACAGAAGCUCACUGAAGCCACACUGAUAGUUGCAAGAAACCAGGGAGGCCUGUGGCACAGUUCAGGGGGCGGGUCUCACAGGUGGUCCUCCAGCAUUGAGCUAGAGCCCCGGAAGUCGUCUUCCAGAGCGCGGGAUUUGAAUUUGUGUCCAGACACGCCCCUUUCUUUCCGCCGCGGACACAGCCUGCAAGAAAUUGGGUCCCAUGAGGUUAGACUUUCAAAAGAGAAGGCAAGAUGCCAGUCAAGAUUUAUAACCCAUUCUUUCUCUGUGAUUGAAAGAUGGAGAACGCAACUCCGAAUCACAGAACAAUGAGAUAAGACACUCUAAGGCAGGCACACCAACUGAGCUUCAAAUGUCCUAACAGAUGACAAACAGAAGAUCUUGAGACAGGAAGACACACCUUUAAUCUGGGCCUCACCUCCUUCUGGAAGCCUAUCUAAUGAGGUGGAAGAAGGAAGCUUUUGCUCUUUGCCAGCUUGCCCUCACCUUGUUAGCAGGUCUAUUCCUUCAUUGACAUUAGAGCCUACUUCUUUGGGAUGCCAGCACCUACUGAAGACCAUUUGAGAACAUCUAGCCUUGUGGUCUGAGCAACUACUGGAUUCUUGGGCUUACGAUUCACAGCUAGCCACUGUUGGAUUAGCUGGACCUCAGCUUAUAAGACAUUCUAAUAAGUCCCCUUUCUGUAUAUAUCGAGAGAUUCAUUCUAUAAGUUCUGUUAGUCUUGAGAACCCUGACUAAUUCAGGUAUUUAAAAGCAAAAAAAAAAAAAUCUAAUAAUAAAAUUGUUGGGAUAGUAUUUUUAAUAUGUCCCAAAAUAUUUAUAUAAAGAAAUUUACCUAUAAGAAUCCAUACACUGUAUAGUAAUGGCUUUAUUUGUAUGAGAGCUCAUUUUUGGAAGAAAUCUGCAAUUGUUUUUACUGGUGUAUAGUUUGUGUUCUCUAUAGCCCUUUAAAUCUGUCUGCCCCUUAGUAUUCCUGUCUACAGAAUGGGUGAAAAUUGCUUCAAAAA